rnacentral:SRP_RNA from 1 species
GCGGCAGGUAGGGCCGGGGAGCUAGCCCUUCCCUGUAACCCGAAAUGGGCUACAUGCGGGGGCCAGUAACCUGGGGGGGCGCUUGCGGAGAGAGGAGGCACGGCAGCAGCCCGGGGAGAUGAGGCGCGCCCACGCAGGGCCUCGUAGGAGGCUGCCCCAUCCGUAGGGAUGGGCAACAGCCUCCGAGCACGCCGAACCGCGUUAGGCCCGGGAGGGAGCGGCGCUAAGGCGUGGCGGGGCCGCUGCGUGGAUCCGUGCUGGAUUCCCGGCUGCUGCUCUAGGUCUCCUCUCUCCCUUGCCACCCCCUGGGGGCUGCCGC